AUUGAACGCUGGCGGCAGGCCUAACACAUGCAAGUCGAACGAGUGGCGGACGGGUGAGUAAUGUCUGGGAAACUGCCCGAUGGAGGGGGAUAACUACUGGAAACGGUAGCUAAUACCGCAUACCAUCGGAUGUGCCCAGAUGGGAUUAGCUCGUAGGAGGGGUAACGGCUCACCUAGGCGACGAUCCCUAGCUGGUCUGAGAGGAUGCCCAGCCACACUGGAACUGAGACACGGUCCAGACUCCGACGGGGGGCAGCAGUGGGAAAUAUUGCACCAUGGGCGCAAGCCUGAUGCAGCCAUGCCGCGUGUAUGAAGAAGGCCUUCGGGUUGUAAAGUACUUUCAGCUAGGGGGCGUUACUCGCAGAAGAGGCACCGGCUAACUCCGUGCCAGCAGCCGCGGUAAUAC
rnacentral:rRNA from 1 species